AAAACAGUGCUAAGGAGGAUUUUUCUAAGGUGAUUCUGGAGCGGAAGAAAGCUAUGAAUAGGCUCAUCGUACACGAGGCGGUCAACCAUGAUAACUCUGUUAUCGGCUUACGCCUAUUACUAUGGAGAAACUUCAGCUUUCUUACUAAGGUUCUAGGUGACUGUUUUGCUGUUUCUAGGUGUGUAAAGCCGCAUAGACCUCUUGGCGUGUAAAAGCAAGUUUAAAGUCAAUGCUUUAAAAUUUGACUUUUGAUUUGACAUUGAAAGG